rnacentral:rRNA from 1 species
AUGAAGAGGAAGGGAGGAGACGGAGAGGGGACGAACAUGGUGUUCGGCAUGAACGAUGCGCGGAGGAAGGCGAGUGGGAGGAUCGAGGUGGAAGAUCUAUGCUCCAAGCUCACGUCUCUGCUUCCCCAAGACUAUCGGCUGGGUGCCUCAGAGGGUCCUCCGGACAUUCCCAGCCAGCUGAUGCAGGCCACCGCCUACAUCGAAGACCUAUACGAGAGAGUCGAAAGGCUGAGGCAGAUGAGAGAUGACAAAACCCAAAGCCGAAGGAUGGCCGGGCGCAGCUGCAGCGGCAGCGUCCUAGACACAGGAGGGGCGGGACCAUCGGGUCCUGGGGACGUAACGGUGCAGCUCGGCGGGGCGGCGCAUUUCGACGUGAGCUUCACGACGGGCUCCGCGGAGAGAGUCGAGAUGCACAGGGUGAUCCGCCUGAUCGAGCAGGAUGGACGCAUGGAGGUCGUCGAGGCGAGCUGGUGCUUCGUCGAUGGUGGCAAGGUUUUCUACACGAUCAAGUGCAUGGCAAUGAGCUCUGAGGCUGUCUUGGAUGCGUCCAUGGCGGCGACAAGGCUCAGGAGGUUGCUGACGGACUCACUUGGUGGCCAUGGUGUCUAA